UCCCCUGCCCCAAACCCCCAAUUUGAUAUUCGAUUUGGGGAUUUCAGGCCUUUUAAUUUGAGCUCCACAACAUAUCUACUUUAAUGCUUCCGUCGGUUCUCUGUUGUCGUGCAUCCAGUAUUUGAAUCCUUUGGUUUCCUCUUCUCAAAUGACCUGCUCGCCGCUUCUCCACCGUCGGGAUGCCCAACAACGCCGUCCUUGCCUCCGCCUGCGUCUCCACCUAGGGCCGCCGCCGUGGCCGCCCUUUUCUUCAAAAGGGCCUACUGCCCUGCUGCCGCAUUGACGAGCCUGGUCUUCGCUUCUCCGUUUCCAGUCGAAUUUCUCAUAUAUUCAAUCUCCAGAUUGCUAGGCCGAGAUUGCAGCUGGUAUGCAACGGCAAGAGGAAUCCAGUGUCCUGACUCCAGAAUCGUCAUCGUAUUCAACAUUCUCCUGCAGUUCAGUCGUAUAUAGAGAAAAGUACAGUAAUAUUGUUUCAUGUAUGCUGCACAUUAGCGCUUGGAUUAAAGACCGCUCACGCUUAGAGCAUUUUAUUUGCAUAUGGGGUUGGAGUUCAGCUCCCCGUUUGUGGUUUACCGGGGAAUUUGUGGUUUCGCUCCGAUUGCAUCAUCUCCGGUGGUGGUGUAACUAAUGUGGUUGCUUCGUGAUGAUCUCGCCAGCUACCGUCUUUACCCGGGCUGUGACUGUCGAUUUCUCGAGGAGUUACGCCAGGUUAGCCACGAUGAAUACCAGCGACUCCCGCACCGGCCGAUGAUGUGCUCAACAUGGUGUCACUCCAAACUUAGGGUAUCGGGUCGCGGCAAGGAGCCCCGCGGCGGUGACAUCAAGGACACUCUGAGUCAAUUCGUCAAUUCGUCAGACACUUACACAACGUCAGGUACCAUCUCCAGCGUGCCAUGGGAUUGAGCACGAGCCGUGCAGACUAGGACAAGAGCGGUGGCGUCCACACCAUGGCCUUGAUGAUCUUGACGCUGUUGUAUCAUGGAGCUCUAGCUUGGUGCCUCAGAUACGACUCUCCGCCCUCUCCUCCCUCUCUUAUUGCACAACUCCUAUGUACAGUCGUUCUAUUGAAUUAGUUGUUUUAGUAUUGUGUAGAGAGUAAAGAUGGCCGGGUCGUAGGCUGGCAUGGUGUUGAUGUAGUAGAUAAUCAUGCUCUUAUUGGCAUCAUUAGGCCACCCAAUGUUCAUACGAACUGAAGUUCAGACAAUUCUUAGUGUUCUCUCCUGUACAACUCAAGACCCAUAGAAUAAAAAAAUAAGAUCUUAGCUUUGUUCAGUCUGCUCCAAAUUUACCUAUCCAAAGAAUCUCAAUAUUCGUAUCAAGAAGAAUUAAAAAUGUUUUCGAAACCAGAUGCAACCCUAAAUUUGUACACUAACCAUGGAACUAUCAUCCAAUAUUUAGCUAGGUACUAUGGGUAAGUGUUUUACCUAAUAGUUUGUUGAAUAGUCUAGAUGAUGAGACAAUUCUGUAGAUAAGACUGUUUUUUCUGAUAUUUGUAUUCAAUUUAUAUGCAACUGAAGAGUUUAAACUUCGAAAAGAAACUGAGAUAUUGUAGUAUAUAAGAUAAUUCUGUUUCUGUUCUGUCAUUUUGAGACUUAGAUCAUAAGCGUGCAUAUUUUGCCCCUGUGCAUUUCAGAGUGUCACGCAGAACCUCUCAUUGGGAACUGAUUUCAGCUGACACCACAAAGGAAUUCAGGUGUUGGUUUUAUUGCUAGAUAUGCCACGAAGACAAUGCUAAGUAUUUUGUAUUCGUUAUCUCAUAUAAAAUAGUUAGGCAUUUGGAAUGUAUUACUCUACAUUGAAUCCAGGUGUGUUGAUAUACAAUGCCAUUCAUGGAGUAAGCAUUGCAUAUACUUGCUUUGUCUUAAUUAAUCGAAACUUCCUAUGUUUGCCUACAAUGCAUUUACUUUCUUAGUGCUACAAAAAUGCAUCAACCAGAACGGUAGAUUUCCUAUGUGCCACUAUAAACAGGUUACCAACUGAAAGUUUUUAUUUAACAUUCCAGCAUAAUCUUGGUCAGCUCUGAUUAUGAAAGUUUCUGGCCUUUAUGGUACUUGUCUCUAUUGCAGCUGCACUACACAUUAAUUGAGAAAUAUAUUUCUUCCCUGCAAUUGAGUUUUUCUUUAUUCAUGUAAGGAAAAAAUUAACGACAUGUCCAAAUGUUCUUUUCCUGAACUGAAGUAUUUAGUAAUCUCAAGAAACAACCAGCAAUAAAAGUAAUAUCAAACUGGCAAAGCAUGGGCGCAUGUUUUUCUUUGCCUCUAUAGAAAACCUCUUCUACCACAUGUCAUAGCUCUAGAAAAUAUAUUUUCAUGUCAGGAGAUGCCAUGCCUGUAGGUCGAGCUGGGCCAAGCACCAGAGCUAGAACUGCUAAUGAAUUGUUCCUGUGGCAAGACCAUAUUCUUAUUCUUAAAUCUGUCACUAGAACUGCUAAUUAGCAUAUAUUUUAAUUACAUUACAAAUUGCGACAACGGAGUGAAUUAAUCAUCUAUAUAGAGGACCUUUCAAUUAAGUGAUGGGAUCACCAAAAGUCAUAGCAGUACAUAUCGCUGCAAAAAGGCAUUAGUCAUCCCUAUUAAGAGAUGCAAUCACCAAAAUUCCUAUGCAAUAUAUUUUUCUACCUCUGAGUUUUGCAGCAAGAAAUUAUUCAAAAGGAAAAUAUUUGAUUUUUUUUACCUUAUUCCUUUUCAAAGAACUGGUAAAAAUCCUCCCUAUGCGAAAUCAAUAUUAUGGCAGAUGAGGGAUCAGGGAAAUCAUUCGAGCUAACAAACCUGUGGAUCAUCUCAAAUAAUUGUUCUGGGUAUAUAGUUCAGUUCCAUGUAAAUAUUAACCUCAAUAUUUUUCCAAUGCAGAUAUUUCUCAUACAUGUACAUGUGCCUGAGGAUUUGAGACCCCAACAGAAGAUUGCCAAUAUCUACUUCAAUGCUGCUCUGGCCGACGACUGGCACGGGCUCGAGAGAUACGACCUGGUGCCCUACCACGCCGCGCACGCGCAGAAACAGUGGCGGCUUCGAGCAGCAGCCGGAAAGAGUGUUGAGGAAUCUCUAGCCAACAAGCAAUCCAGGAGGAUAUAUGAACUAUCAUCCACACAAUCUGGAUCGACAUAGUAGGAAGAUGAAUCGGUGCCUCGAGAGCUACCUUAAGAUGCAGGAUGUGCACACGGUCAUCUUCUUUCUUUUUUGCCCAACCCCAAGCAUUACUUAAGAGUUUCUUCUGUUACAAGUGUUUGUUUUCCACCAUAAUUAUGUGAGUUGAUUGGUCGGCAUUAUACGAAUUGGUUCAUGGUUUGCCCUCUUUGGAAAACACAAAGCUUGCUCCUCAUUAUACUACUGUAUGCCUUGCCAUGUGUUGAAAUUUCUCGGUACACUAUGGUUUAGGAUAACUUUCUGCUUAUAUUCUGAUGCUUUACCUACAGCCAACUGUUUCUACUCGAAGUCCUUUGUGGUUGAUGAGAUUCUAGAUGAUGUGCUUUCUGAUUAGGUGUUACUGAGGUGAGUUUGUAUGAAUUUUUUAAUGCAGCUUUUUUUCAGUCCAAGAAGCAUUAAAAUAUUGCUUCCGUCCCAAGGGAACAUGAUGAAAGGAUGUGCGCCAACUAAUCAUAUAGAUCAAUUCAAGGCACGGCUAAAAGAAGGUUCAGCUUACACCUUAGAACAUUCAUCGUUGCUGAUGUGCGGAAUAAAUACAGAGUAGCGGAUCAUCCUUACAGAAUCAAAAUUACUCAGUGCUCAAAAGUUCAGGAAAUCAUUCCACAACAUGUUAACCUUCCUCUAUUUUCAUAUAAUGCAACACGUGCAGUCGACAAUAGUCCUGUCAGCAAGCAGUAAGAUACCAUCUGCAUCAUCAGACCAACCUGUUCCAACUACUCGAGACAGAGAUGAAGCACUGUCGAUGUUGUUUUUCGUUGUUAUUUUCUUUCAGAUUUCUACUAGAAGCAUUAACUUCCCUGCUCAUUCUUCCGUUGGAGUUCCUCACAGCAAUAGGCUUAGAAUAGCAGAUACUGAAGUGCACAUACUGCUGGUCAUCCUCGGUGAGCUCUGUUACAAUUCAUUUCUUAGAGUUUGGUGUUUGCUGAACAUAUGCGGUGCUUGGUGAGGUGUAGGUGUGUUGGUUCGCAUGUGUUCUUUUCUUUUUUCCUCUUGUACAUUCUGCAUAUGUAUCAUGGUUUUUUGUUGCUCUGUUUUCUAGGAUCAAUUCUCUACUCAAGACGAAGAAGUUUCCACUUACUCCUUUAAUGUGCACAGCUGUUCUUUUAGUUUUUUAGUUUUUAUUUUUUUUCCGUGCAACUGUUACUUAUUAAUUUUCUCAUGCCGCUAAAUUUGAAAUGACUGGUUCCGAAGUGCAAGCACUAUC